UACGUAGGGUGCGAGCGUUAAUCGGAUUUACUGGGCGUAAAGCGUGCGCAGGCGGCCCGUGAAGACAGGUGUGAAAUCCCUGGGCUCAACCUAGGAAUUGCGCUUGUGACUGGCGGGCUCGAGUACGGUAGAGGGGGGUGGAAUUCCUGGUGUAGCAGUGAAAUGCGUAGAGAUCAGGAGGAACACCGAUGGCGAAGGCAGCCCCCUGGGCCUGUACUGACGCUCAUGCACGAAAGCGUGGGGAGCAAACAGG
rnacentral:rRNA from 1 species